GCGGCUUCCAGCUGCGCACGGGGCUCCGUCUGCGCCUCCGUCUGUCCAGCUCUGUCUCCAGGGAGAGACUGAACACAUGUGAAGAUCUUUCUGGCCUCAACUGGCUUUUCUUUCUUUUACUCUGAGCACUAAUGGUGAGGAGUCCGGUGACCACAGGUACGGUCUGGUGCCACUACCGUGAUCUGGGCUCAGGCGCCAGCAGUCGUAUCCACCUUUGAUUGUGCACCGUCAGUGCGAACGUCAGCGCAGUGAAGGGACUAGGAACCGCCCAGUCCUGCUAUGAAACGCUUGUCCCUCCACGCGCCCUGGAGAGGUCUGUGGACCCCCAGUGCCUGGAGACUCCACUGUGGUCACUCUGAGGACCGGGGCUGGGGGGUGGCCAGCAACCGUGCCGUUUGCCCCUAGCGCUGCCUUCCCGUCCGUUUGAGUAUUACCUGUUCUUUGCGUUGAGCCUCAUCACUCAGAAGCCACUCCCCGGAGCCCUGCACGUUCGUCCUUCAGACUGUGUCUAUUUCAUCCUGGUGGACAGGUACCUCUCAUGGUUCCUGCCCACAGAAGGCAAUGUGCUCCCCCUACUCUCCUCCAGUCCGGGGGCCCCCAGCCCCUCACCAGCUCCCAGGCCAAAUAGCAUUCCAUGGCGUGUAGACCCCACCUUUUCCUUAUCCAGUCUCCUGUCAACGAGCGUUAAGCUGUCUCCGUGUCUUGGCUUUUGUGAAGGAUGCUGCAGUCACACGGGGCAGAGAUCUCUCCGAGAGGCUCCUUUCGAUUUUUUGGACAUGUACCCACAAGUGGGGUUGCUGGGUCGUGCUAAGUGAAAUGGACCAGUCACCGAAGGACCAGUACUGUGUGAUUCCGCUCAGGGGCUGCUCUGCACCUGCCAGCACGGCUCCCGUCUCUGAUUCCGAGAGUCCUGGUGUGGACAAGACAGAGAGGUCAUCUGGUCAGUCCUUCUCACUUUCCCGAAGGCCCCUGGGACAUUAGUUCCCAUCCUCCACACAAGGAAAUCGAGUCUCAUAGAGGUGAUAUGACCUGCCUAGAGUCACACAGCACAGAAGUGGACGAGAUGUAAUUUGAACCAGGUUCCUGGAUUCCAAAUGCCAGAGAUAUGACCGCCACACUGUCGCACUGCCCAAGGCAGGUGCUGUUUAUUGAGUCCUACUAUGUGCUUGGGACUGGGCGAGGCUGGGAGAUACAGAGAUGAGAAGGCAGACCAUUCUGUGGUGUUUUUCAUGUGUCCUCUCCCCUGGGAACCUGGGAGCCAUGUAUCUCCAACACCUCGCACAGAGCUUGGCCCACAGCAGGGCUUCAGUGAAUGUUGGCUGAAGAAUGAAUGAACUGCUGCAAAUGAUAGAAGAAUAAGCAUAUUUUGUGAUUUCUCUGGGGUCUGUCCCCUUGACACUGUGUUCCCAGCACCUGGCACCAUGCCUGGUAGUGGCUCCGUAGGGAGACCAACUGGACCCUGACUCAGGCUUGGACUCCUGCCGAGUGGGUGUUCCUGCACAGCCACAGCACUUCUUGAAGCCUCAGUGUCCUCAUCUGCUCAGUGGGGAUAAUAAUUGCAUCUACUUCAGAGGAUCAGGGAGAUCGCCCAAGUGAAUGCCUGUGUGACAGCACAGGGCCCUCCCAGGAAAAGGCGUCCACUACUGAGCAGUCUCUCUUCUACCUAUCCUGUACCGCUUGGGCAACUGGGUGUGCGGCCAGAGAUGUAAGGAGAACUCUGAAGGGUCCCUGGGCCCAGGGAGGGAACCCCAGGAAGGAAACACUUGUAGGGGCCCCUCCCCAAGGACGGACUUCAGCCCUCCCAGGAGAGGGUGUGGUUGCAGAGAAGGUCUGCAGGUUCCCGGGCCAGACCUGGUGCACAGUCUCUGGGCUGCAGGUGGCACCCCUGCAGGGAGCAGGUGAGAUGCAGCUGAUGCGGGGUGCACAGGAGGGGCUGGGGCGCCACUGUGGAUGGGAGGCCUGGAGCCUGUGGUGUUCUUGGGAGGGCUGGGGCAGGUGUCACCAGGCCAUGUGGGGGCUGUGAGGUUGCCCAGGGACCAUGCAUUCUGUGUGUGGGGCUGGGGCAGAGCCAGCUGGGAAGAGAGUGGCCUGUCUGCAGAUGUGGCCCCUGGGGUUGGGGGUGUCUGCAGUCACAGAGCCUUUCCAUGCAGGGUCUCACGAACCUGUGCCCUGAUCUGCACCUGCAGUGACUCCACCUGAUCCUGCCCCCCACACACCUGGAACUUGCCCUUGGCUCCAGAAUCAAAUCCAGACUCCUCCCUGGGUCUGUGGGGUCCCGGCCCACCUCCCUAUCUGACCUCCUCUCCCACGGCCGCCCCUCUUCACUCAGGCGCCUUUUGCUUUCCUCCUUUGAGACUUGUCCUUUCUCACCUCAGGGCCUGUGCCCUCCCUGCUCCCCCUCCUGGCAGCUCUCCCCAUCUCCAGCCGGAUCACAAGUUCCUCCUUUGCCAUCCCCUGCACCUCAGAUUCCUGGGCUCAGCUCCCUCGCAGCACCACCCUCCCUCAGAACCCACGUCCAGCCGCUGCUCCACACCGAGCUGCUCAAGCCUUUGCCUGCUGCCUGGACCCCCACUCUCUGUAGACCCAGAGGAGGGACCAAGGUUCUCUUGCUCACUGCUGGGUCCCCAGUUCCGACGCCAGCACUGUCACAAACAGAUGUUCGAGAAAGAUGCUUUAACUUCAUCUUCUUUCAAAUAAACUCUUUGUUUUGGAGUAACUUUAGAAUUAUGGAAAAGUUGCAAAGACAGUACAAGGAGCUUCUGUGUCCCCUCACCCAGUCUCUGUUAUGAGCACCUCAUGUCACCAUAUACAUCUGUCACAACUCAGAGACUCACGUGGGUCCUUUUCCAUCAGCUCAACUCCAGACCUCAUUGUACCAGCUGUUCCAUUUCCUUUUCCUUUGCAGGAUCCAGCCCAGGGCGCCACACUGUUUAGUUGUCAUGCUACCGCGGGUCCUCUGGUCUGGACAGUUUCUCCUUCCUUCCUUGUUUUUCCUCACCUCUACAGUUUUG
rnacentral:lncRNA from 1 species